rnacentral:rRNA from 1 species
GGAUGACCUCGGAUCAGGUAGGGAUACCCGCUGAACUUAAGCAUAUCAAUAAGCGGAGGAAAAGAAACCAACAGGGAUUACCUCAGU